GGAAUAUUGCACAAUGGGCGCAAGCCUGAUGCAGCCAUGCCGCGUGUGUGAAGAAGGCCUUAGGGUUGUAAAGCACUUUCAGCGAGGAGGAAGGGUUCAGUGUUAAUAGCACUGUGCAUUGACGUUACUCGCAGAAGAAGCACCGGCUAACUCCGUGCCAGCAGCCGCGGUAAUACGGAGGGUGCAAGCGUUAAUCGGAAUUACUGGGCGUAAAGCGCACGCAGGCGGUUUGUUAAGUCAGAUGUGAAAUCCCCGAGCUUAACUUGGGAACUGCAUUUGAAACUGGCAAGCUAGAGUCUUGUAGAGGGGGGUAGAAUUCCAGGUGUAGCGGUGAAAUGCGUAGAGAUCUGGAGGAAUACCGGUGGCGAAGGCGGCCCCCUGGACAAAGACUGACGCUCAGGUGCGAAAGCGUGGGGAGCAAACAGGAUUAGAUACCCUUG
rnacentral:rRNA from 1 species